GGAGGUGGGCCCUCCGGAAUCGCCGUACAGGCGGAGAUUCCAAAUCACCUGCUGCUGCUGCAUUUAAGAGGUGUGGUGGUGAGCGAGCCAGGAAAAGGCGGGAUAAGAUCCUGUCAGA
rfam:Prosthecochloris aestuarii DSM 271, complete genome.